rnacentral:rRNA from 1 species
AACGAACGCUGGCGGCAUGCCUAACACAUGCAAGUCGAACGAGACCUUCGGGUCUAGUGGCGCACGGGUGCGUAACGCGUGGGAACCUGCCUUUAGGUUCGGAAUAACUCAGAGAAAUUUGAGCUAAUACCGGAUGAUGUCUUCGGACCAAAGAUUUAUCGCCUUUAGAUGGGCCCGCGUUGGAUUAGCUAGUUGGUGGGGUAAAGGCCUACCAAGGCGACGAUGCAUAGCUGGUCUGAGAGGAUGAUCAGACACACUGGGACUGAGACACGGCCCAGACUCCUACGGGAGGCAGCAGUGGGGAAUAUUGGACAAUGGGCGAAAGCCUGAUCCAGCAAUGCCGCGUGAGUGAUGAAGGCCUUAGGGUUGUAAAGCUCUUUUACCCGAGAUGAUAAUGACAGUAUCGGGAGAAUAAGCUCCGGCUAACUCCGUG